rnacentral:misc_RNA from 1 species
AGACAAUCCUUGCCGAUCCUGAUAUAUCCGAUGCGAUUGAGAAUGAGAAGGAGGUUUCCAAGACAUUUCAAAUUUACAAUGUUGACAGGGCUGUCUGUGGUCGAGUAGCAGGUGUCAUUGCCAAGAAGUAUGGUGACACAGGAUUUGCAGGCCAGCUCAACAUUACGUUUACUGGAAGCGCAGGGCAGUCCUUUGGAUGUUUCCUAACUCCUGGAAUGAAUAUUCGGCUAGUUGGAGAGGCCAACGAUUA